rnacentral:misc_RNA from 1 species
UCCCGCUUCUGGCGGGCAGUUGCGUAUGACACGUAAAACAUACGCCGAGGGUUGCGCUCGUUGCGGGACUUAACCCAACAUCUCACGACACGAGCUGACGACAGCCAUGCAGCACCUGUGCUCGCUCCCUUGCGGGUCGCUUCCCUUUCGGGUCGCUACCACGAGCAUGUCAAACCCAGGUAAGGUUCUUCGCGUCGCAUCGAAUUAAACCACACGCUCCGCUGCUUGUGCGGGUCCCCGUCAAUUCCUUUGAGUUUUAGCCUUGCGGCCGUACUCCCCAGGCGGUGUGCUUAUCGCGUUGGCUGAGGCGCGCACGGUUUUACCCGCACACACCGAGCACACAUCGUUUACGGCGUGGACUAC